rnacentral:lncRNA from 1 species
AUAUUCGCAAGUGACCCAGUAAUACAAUGUUGGAAAACUAAAUGCAGAAGCUGAACAGGUCGUAAUUUUGUAGAAGACUAGAGAACAGGGGCACACUACAUUGUAGCACUAUCGACCACAUUAAGUGAUGAUCCAAAUAAUGUAACCCAAUCAAUCGAUAUCUGACAAGAAACUAAAAAUGAAACCACAUGCUAGGCAGUGAAUAGAAGUGAAAGUGUGAAAAGUGUGUGCAACCACCAUACAACCUGAGAUGCUACAAGAACUACUACACAUACAUGCAAAGUGUGGAGCAACC